GGAGAGGUCGGAUAGUGGUUUAUUCCACCGCACUUGAAAUGCGGCAUCCCGAAAGGGAUCGCGAGUUCGAAUCUCGCCCUCUCCG
rnacentral:tRNA from 1 species